AACAGGAUUAGAUACCCUGGUAGUCCACGCUGUAAACGAUGUCGACUUGGAGGUUGUUCCCUUGAGGAGUGGCUUCCGGAGCUAACGCGUUAAGUCGACCGCCUGGGGAGUACGGCCGCAAGGUUAAAACUCAAAUGAAUUGACGGGGGCCCGCACAAGCGGUGGAGCAUGUGGUUUAAUUCGAUGCAACGCGAAGAACCUUACCUACUCUUGACAUCCAGAGAACUUAGCAGAGACGCUUUGGUGCCUUCGGGAACUCUGAGACAGGUGCUGCAUGGCUGUCGUCAGCUCGUGUUGUGAAAUGUUGGGUUAAGUCCCGCAACGAGCGCAACCCUUAUCCUUUGUUGCCAGCGGUUCGGCCGGGAACUCAAAGGAGACUGCCAGUGAUAAACUGGAGGAAGGUGGGGAUGACGUCAAGUCAUCAUGGCCCUUACGAGUAGGGCUACACACGUGCUACAAUGGCAUAUACAAAGAGAAGCGACCUCGCGAGAGCAAGCGGACCUCAUAAAGUAUGUCGUAGUCCGGAUCGGAGUCUGCAACUCGACUCCGUGAAGUCGGAAUCGCUAGUAAUCGUGGAUCAGAAUGCCACGGUGAAUACGUUCCCGGGCCUUGUACACACCGCCCGUCACACCAUGGGAGUGGGUUGCAAAAGAAGUAGGUAGCUUAACCUUCGGGAGGGCGCUUACCACUUUGUGAUUCAUGACUGGGGUGAAGUCGUAACAAGGUAACC
rnacentral:rRNA from 1 species